UAGUGCAAUGGUAUAAGCAAGCUUAACUGCGAGACAGACAAGUCGAGCAGGUACGAAAGUAGGUCAUAGUGAUCCGGUGGUUCUGAAUGGAAGGGCCAUCGCUCAACGGAUAAAAGGUACUCCGGGGAUAACAGGCUGAUACCGCCCAAGAGUUCAUAUCGACGGCGGUGUUUGGCACCUCGAUGUCGGCUCAUCACAUCCUGGGGCUGAAGUAGGUCCCAAGGGUAUGGCUGUUCGCCAUUUAAAGUGGUACGCGAGCUGGGUUUAGAACGUCGUGAGACAGUUCGGUCCCUAUCUGCCGUGGGCGUAGGAGAAUUGGUUGGGGCUGCUCCUAGUACGAGAGGACCGGAGUGGACGCACCACUGGUGUUCCGGUUGUGUCGCCAGACGCAUUGCCGGGUAGCUAAGUGCGGAAGAGAUAAGUGCUGAAAGCAUCUAAGCACGAAACUUGCCAAGAGAUGAGUUCUCCCAAUCUAAGAGAUUGUAAGGGUUGUUGUAGACUACGACGUAGAUAGGUCUGGUGUGUAAGUGUAGUGAUACAUUGAGCUAACAGAUACUAAUUGCCCGAGAGGCUUAACUAUACAACGCUCAAG
rnacentral:rRNA from 1 species